rnacentral:tRNA from 1 species
AGCCGGGUGGUGUAGCGGCCAAGCAUGGCGGGCUUUGGACCCGCCGACCGGGGUUCGAAUCCCCGCCCGGCUACCA